UACGAAGGGGGCUAGCGUUGUUCGAAAUUACUGGGCGUAAAGCGCACGUAGGCGGAUCCUUAAGUCAGGGGUGAAAUCCCGAGGCUCAACCUCGGAACUGCCUUUGAUACUGGGGAUAUCGAGUCCGGGAGAGGUGAGUGGAACUGCGAGUGUAGAGGUGAAAUUCGUAGAUAUUCGCAAGAACACCAGUGGCGAAGGCGGCUCACUGGCCCGGUACUGACGCUGAGGUGCGAAAGCGUGGGGAGCAAACAGG
rnacentral:rRNA from 1 species